CGAACGGGUGAGUAACACGUGGGUAAUCUGCCCUGCAUUCUGGGACAAGCCUUGGAAACGAGGUCUAAUACCGGAUACGACGCAUCUCCGCAUGGGGUGUGCGUGGAAAGCUCCGGCGAUGCAGGAUGAACCCGCGGCCUAUCAGCUUGUUGGUGGGGUGAUGGCCUACCAAGGCGACGACGGGUAGCCGGCCUGAGAGGGCGACCGGCCACACUGGGACUGAGACACGGCCCAGACUCCUACGGGAGGCAGCAGUGGGGAAUAUUGCACAAUGGGCGAAAGCCUGAUGCAGCGACGCCGCGUGAGGGAUGACGGCCUUCGGGUUGUAAACCUCUUUCAGCAGGGAAGAAGCGCAAGUGACGGUACCUGCAGAAGAAGCACCGGCUAACUACGUGCCAGCAGCCGCGGUAAUACGUAGGGUGCGAGCGUUGUCCGGAAUUAUUGGGCGUAAAGAGCUCGUAGGCGGCUUGUCGCGUCGGAUGUGAAAGCCCGGGGCUUAACUUCGGGUCUGCAUUCGAUACGGGCAGGCUAGAGUGUGGUAGGGGAGAUCGGAAUUCCUGGUGUAGCGGUGAAAUGCGCAGAUAUCAGGAGGAACACCGGUGGCGAAGGCGGAUCUCUGGGCCAUUACUGACGCUGAGGAG
rnacentral:rRNA from 1 species